rnacentral:misc_RNA from 1 species
UUUCCGUAGGUGAACCUGCGGAAGGAUCAUUAGUGAACUCCCUCACGGGCUUAUACCUCUUCCAAACCGCUCUGGAGCGGGCCCGUCGAGACUAUUUUGCGAACAUGGUGUAAUGAACUUCAUAAAUCAUAACAAAACAACACUUUCAACAACGGAACUCUUGGCUCUCACAUCCAUAAAGAACUCAGCAAACCGGCAUAACACACUUCUAAACUACAAUCACUUCGUACUAUCACGUAUGCAUUCUUUGGCUUGGACAUUGAUGAAGAACGAAGAAGA